GGAGCGUCCGGGACGCGGCGGGACUCGAGUGUUUCGGAAAAGGAGCGUCUCCCCAGGCGGUGGUUGUCUUCACUAGCGAUGGGGUAAAAGGAGGACGCAAUACCUGGUUCAACUUGAGCAGGUACAUUUUGACCAUAUUCCAGGUGUCAUGUGAAGAUUUAAGCCUCUUUCCAACCCCCACUCCCCCCGAAUCUACUGCAUCCUUUUUGGAGUCUUCAUUCUUAGGCACAUUUUGUCAAGACUUAAAACCUACCAAAGAAAAGAUACACUGAGGUCAGAUCCAAUCCCACUGGGGGCCAGCGAGUGAAAUGCGACGGUUUCCUUUUAUAAUCUCUGUUUUUCAUAAUGAUGACAUUAAAAAUCUUGAGGUUUCCCAGUAGAUAUUUAAGCUGAAAGCAACAUUGUGCUUGUCUUCAGAGACCAAGACUUUCUGGCUCUUGUCUUGGAAUAUUUCGCAAAGUCAUAGGCAAAACACACACAAACAAACAGAACCAAAACACAGCAGACCACUCACGGGGGACCGAACCAGGCAGUUAGCCCAGCAUCCCCCUGCUGCGGGAGGAGGGAGCUUGGAUACUCCUCUCUGGAGAAUCCUGCUCUGGAAAUCCCCACACCCCAAAAUGCAAUGUAGAGGGGCAGUGAGUCAGCACCUCACCCCAAAUGAAUGGCCGUUCUGCUCAGCAGGCUCAACGCUUAGAUCCCCAGAUCCAGUUUCUCUUUGCUUUCUGUAAUUGGAAGAAUGGAAUAGGAUUGCUGCUAGAAAUCUUUGAGGUCACUGGUUUGAAAGUGGGAUUAUGAGCAUGAAUUUUUGUUGUUGUUGUUUGUUUGUUUUCAGACGGAGUCUCGCUAUGUUGCCCAGGCUGGGGU
rnacentral:lncRNA from 1 species